UUUCACGUUUUUAGCUACCCUGCCGAAAAUAGGUACACUGCCGAAAACUGGUACAGUUACCCUACCGCGCUGUAAAUAAACCAGUGACAGUUCGAACAUGCGACCUGGGCACUGUGGGCCGCUCCACACUGUUUGUGUCAGUUUCAAUUGGUGUUGUUUUCAUUUAUCGCGGUUUGUUUACAUUUCGUUGCGGUUAUCAUCAUAUUCCCGUGGUUCGAUAUUCGGUCGAGCUUUCUUUUCGUCAACCUCAUCGUGACGAUCGUGGUGCUCGGUGGACUGUUGGCAACGAUCGAAAAACAUCUCCCCACUGCCAUCCGGCAGACGUUCCGGGUAUGACAAGCAUGCACUGAAGGGAUCAUCGGACCGAUUGGUGUCCCUGCUGGAGAUCCUGAAGGCGUGGUUUAUACAUUUCUAUGUCUUUGCUGCCCUCUGGUCGGUGGCCGGAUUUGCCGUCAUGAUGUAGCCAGCGCGGGACUAUGUAAUCACCUUCCUCGAUACGUUGGCAACCAACAAGCGUAUGGUGCGCACCACGCCUACCGAGACGAUGGUUGCCAUGACGCUGAUCACGCUGCAGUGUUUGCGCCGGUUCUACGAGACCUGGUUCGUGCAGGUACUCUCGAGCAAGCUGAAAAUCACCCACCAGUGGUACGUGGAACACUUUCACAACUAUCCGAAGCAAAGGAAAGCACUCGUCCAGUUCGUUCUGUGAGAUCGACGGUGAGGGUGCGGAUAAUAUCGUUCCGGUUGUUGGGCUUUUUUUGUAGGAUCGAAAAAAUGGUAUGGUUGGUGUCCGGCUUUUUUUAGGUUGCUGGUUCCCGGCUGAUGGGAUUCAGCUGGUUUUCCUGGAUCGUCUGUGAAUGCCUUGUUCCACGGACCGGUCGUUGAUGCACUCGAGGUGCACCGCAUUGACGAGCGGCAGUAGCAGGAUGCAAUCGGCGCGGCCGAGCUGGCAGCGAAGCCGUUUCUCGGUGAGCCAUUCACGCCGAAUGAGGGCGGUCAAGAGCCGGCUGCAUACGUUCGAUUCGUUCGAUUCGAUAUUCGUUACGCGCACGAUCAAACUGUGUAACGAUGCCGAGUGUGUCCGGCCAUCGCGACUAGAAGCAUAGCGGAAGUUAAGUUGCGUCGUCUAUUGUGACACCUUUUCAUCAACAACUGGCAUGACUAUCGGCGCACGGUCGGUGGCUCUAGCGAAGGGGAGGGUGCGUUCCAAUCGGCUGGCAGGACACAGAUCGGAUCGGUUAGGACAGCGAUCGGCAUAGUACGGCUCGGGACCCGCUUGUGGCUAUUUGUUGACUAGUUGCCUCUUCAAGUGCAAAUCUACGACCAUGUUUAGAAGAUUUGGCUCUUUCGAUCGCAACUCUUUCGUUUGCCGAGUCGCUGGGGAUAUUGGAUUGUAAGGAAUGAAUAUACUGUACGCAGGAACCAGAUGAUGACAUCACCAAGGAGCUAAUGCGCUAAAGCUUAUCAGGAGGAGGCGAGAAUGGUUUGAUGGUUUUGGGCACAGCUCCCACGUACAGUAUCGGACAUUAAGAUAGAACCCUGGUGUUUUCAACGCACCGUGCACUUGUUUGCCACGUUUUGUGUG